AAAGGCGCUUUCGGGUGUCGCUGAUGGAUGGACCCGCGGUGCAUUAGCUAGUUGGUGAGGUAACGGCUCACCAAGGCCACGAUGCAUAGCCGACCUGAGAGGGUGAUCGGCCACAUUGGGACUGAGACACGGCCCAAACUCCUACGGGAGGCAGCAGUAGGGAAUCUUCGGCAAUGGACGAAAGUCUGACCGAGCAACGCCGCGUGAGUGAAGAAGGUUUUCGGAUCGUAAAACUCUGUUGUUAGAGAAGAACAAGGAUGAGAGUAACUGUUCAUCCCUUGACGGUAUCUAACCAGAAAGCCACGGCUAACUACGUGCCAGCAGCCGCGGUAAUACGUAGGUGGCAAGCGUUGUCCGGAUUUAUUGGGCGUAAAGCGAGCGCAGGCGGUUUCUUAAGUCUGAUGUGAAAGCCCCCGGCUCAACCGGGGAGGGUCAUUGGAAACUGGGAGACUUGAGUGCAGAAGAGGAGAGUGGAAUUCCAUGUGUAGCGGUGAAAUGCGUAGAUAUAUGGAGGAACACCAGUGGCGAAGGCGGCUCUCUGGUCUGUAACUGACGCUGAGGCUCGAAAGCGUGGGGAGCAAACAGGAUUAGAUACCCUGGUAGUCCACGCCGUAAACGAUGAGUGCUAAGUGUUGGAGGGUUUCCGCCCUUCAGUGCUGCAGCUAACGCAUUAAGCACUCCGCCUGGGGAGUACGACCGCAAGGUUGAAACUCAAAGGAAUUGACGGGGGCCCGCACAAGCGGUGGAGCAUGUGGUUUAAUUCGAAGCAACGCGAAGAACCUUACCAGGUCUUGACAUCCUUUGACCACUCUAGAGAUAGAGCUUCCCCUU
rnacentral:rRNA from 1 species